UAGAGUUUGAUCAUGGCUCAGAUUGAACGCUGGCGGCAUGCUUUACACAUGCAAGUCGAACGGUAACAGGGUGCUUGUACCGCUGACGAGUGGCGAACGGGUGAGUAAUGCAUCGGAACGUACCCAGUCGUGGGGGAUAACGUAGCGAAGGUUACGCUAAUACCGCAUACGUCCUGAGGGAGAAAGCGGGGGACCGUAAGGCCUCGCGCGAUUGGAGCGGCCGAUGUCGGAUUAGCUAGUUGGUAGGGUAAAGGCCUACCAAGGCGACGAUCCGUAGCGGGUCUGAGAGGAUGAUCCGCCACACUGGGACUGAGACACGGCCCAGACUCCUACGGGAGGCAGCAGUGGGGAAUUUUGGACAAUGGGCGAAAGCCUGAUCCAGCCAUGCCGCGUGAGUGAAGAAGGCCUUCGGGUUGUAAAGCUCUUUCAGAUGGAAAGAAAACGUACAGGUUAAUACCUUGUGCGGAUGACGGUACCAUCAGAAGAAGCACCGGCUAACUACGUGCCAGCAGCCGCGGUAAU
rnacentral:rRNA from 1 species